rnacentral:lncRNA from 1 species
GUUUAAACUAAGCAGAUUAAGAGGAAUGAGGGCUGGCACCCAUCUGCUGGGGCGGUUUGCACUAACUGUGUACCUACAGAGGAGAUCUGCCUGCUGCAUCCAGAGGAGAGGAGGUUUGGAGCUUGGGUACGGCUUCUCUAUGAUUCUGCGUUUGGUGAUCAGAAACUUGGUGUUUCCAAGCUGUUCAACUGAGGAAUAGGCCUUAGACCAGGAGACUCUUGGAUGGAUGCCCUGUCUCUUGCUUACUGCAUAAACUGUGAGCCCUUGGAGGAUAGGGCUUUUGACCACUAGGAAGAUAGCCAUUGAACAAGCACAUCCAUGUUGCUAUGACUGCUGAAAAUAGAAACAUGACUCAGAGUUCCUGCCUCAUGGAGUCUGGGAGCUUUCCUCCUCAUGGAUCUGGGAGCUUCCAGGAACACAUCAAGGAAGAAGGAGGUGUCACGUCUCAACACCCACCCAGCUUACCUGCAGAUCCCAGAAGAGCCAAGAGGUUCCGAGGGCACCCUUAAUGAGACAAGGCAUCUGAUGACACCUUCCAUUACACCAGGCACCAGUACAGAAAGCAAGCUGUUCUGCGGCACCAGAACAUAUGAAAAGGAAGCGCAGUUUUCCACACACAGUCGCUUCCCGUCUCAGACCCCAUGACUGCAGAGUUCCAGAAAGUAAACACUGUAGAUCCAAGCAGAGUGCCAGAUGGUGGGCUGAAGUAGAACCAGCGCACAGAGACUGGAACACACAGGGCUGGGAGCUCCUUGCUCUCUUCGUCUGCUUCCACCUAUUCAGAUGUCUCCAGGGUUCAGGAAUAGAAGCUUUCACUGAAGAGACAUCAGGCAUCUAAGGAUCGCUUGACACAGUGGAAUACCAGGCACACAGUGGGAAGCUUCUCCCAGUGGGUUGCUAACAGAUGAAGAGCAGAAACAGGAAUGGAUCCUUCCUCUUAAGGUUCCUGCCACCUUAGACUGGAGACCAAGCCUGCAGGACGUGAAGCUUGGGAAGUCAGAUCACGCUCCAAGAAUGGAGUCGUAUGAGGAGGAUUCUGAGUGCUUGGGAGAAAACUCCAAGAAACCAGGACGAGAGAUUUGUGAUUUCAGUUUCUUCAAAGUCACAAAAUUUUUCUUGGAUUAUGCUUUUGUGCCCCUCCCAGAUGUAGCAAUUGACUUCAGAUUAUUCAUCAUAACUGGCUAUUAUUUGUUUAUACACCUCUAUGGAAAAUCCAUGUGUGGCUUUGGCCUGGUGACUGUACACUUUACUCACUUGGCUCUGAGUAACCCUCAAAGUAUAAAUUGUCUGAUGCUCUGAA